rnacentral:misc_RNA from 1 species
UCUCCGUUUCCGGUUCUUACAACUAGCAUGUCAAGCCUGGGUAAGGUUCUUCGCGUUGUAUCGAAUUAAACCACAUGCUCCACCGCUUGUGCAGGCCCCCGUCAAUUCCUUUGAGUUUUAAUCUUGCGACCGUACUCCCCAGGCGGGAUGCUUAAUGCGUUAGCUGCGCCACUGAAGGGUAAACCCCCCAACGGCUAGCAUCCAUCGUUUACGGCGUGGACUAC